rnacentral:ncRNA from 1 species
UAGUUGCAUCUUGGGAUCGAGCUGGCGGUCCACUGUGAGGCAAGCCACUGCCUGUCCCAUCCCCUGCCUCUCAGCACCCCCUCGAUGCUCUUAGCUGAGUGUCCUACAGGGCCCAAAGCAUUUACUUUGAGAAAAUUAGAGUGUUCAAAGCAGGUCGGCCACCAGCAUACUGCAGCUAGGAAUAAUGGAAUAGGACUCCUCCAGUUUGUUUUGUUGGUCUUCGGAAACAGGGCCAUAAUUAAGAGGGACCGCUGGGGGCAUUUGUAUUGUGCUGCUAGAGGUGAAAUUCUUGGACCGGUGCAAAAUGGUCUAGAGUGAAAGCAUUUGCCAAGAAUGUUUUCGUUAAUCAA